AGCGACAUCGUUGGAUAGCCAUCUGUGGGGUUUGACGAUAGAUCAUAGCAAGUGUCAAAUUUAACUAGACCACCAUCGUAGCCGCUCGUGCGAGUCAAGGCUUUAGCGUACUUAACAAACGUAUCACGGACCGAGUUAUAAACCUCAUCUGGCAACGCCGUUAUGGUGGUGCCCGAGUCAACUACAAUUCCCCCACUUCCAUCUUGGCCUAUUUGGUAAGCUGAUGCGGGAAUGGGUACUUGUUCUCCAUUAAUGGUAAUCCCCGUGAGCUCCACGUAGUAAAAAACCUCAAUUCUUCGAUUGAUUAUCAAGGGAACGAGGACUGAGUCACCAGGUGGAGCUGAGUUAAACUCAAGAGUCGAGGACUUGCCCGAGUCUCUAUCCACGAGACAGUAGGAGAAGGACGUCGCUUGAAUUUGAGAAGGAAAGCUUACAGGAGUGCCCCCAAGACCAAGUAUCCCAGACGCCCCCCCGCGUUGAUUAUGGCCGCACCCGAUGGCUACUUUAUCAACCGAACCUGAACUUCCAAACGACACCGUUUCAGUGGCGAAUUCUCCCUCAACAGUGGAUCUAUCUCCGUAGCUCGUUAUAAAC
rnacentral:lncRNA from 1 species